UACGUAGGGUCCGAGCGUUGUCCGGAAUUACUGGGCGUAAAGAGCUCGUAGGUGGUUUGUCGCGUUGUUCGUGAAAACUCACAGCUCAACUGUGGGCGUGCGGGCGAUACGGGCAGACUAGAGUACUGCAGGGGAGACUGGAAUUCCUGGUGUAGCGGUGAAAUGCGCAGAUAUCAGGAGGAACACCGGUGGCGAAGGCGGGUCUCUGGGCAACAACUGACGCUGAGGAGCGAAAGCGUGGGGGAGCGAACGGG
rnacentral:rRNA from 1 species